AGACAUGGGAGGGUCCUGCAGGCAGACUUGGGUUGUGUAAGAAACAGGAUGAGCCCAGCAUGGAAAAUAAGCCAGUGUCAGUGUUCCUCCAUGGCCUCUGCUUCUUCUUCUCCCCCCCCCCCCCAAAUGUUCCUGCUUUGAUUUUCUAUCUUAGCUUCCCUCCAAGAUGGACUAUAGCCCGAUAGCCAAUAAACCCUUUCCUCCCGAAGUGGUUCUGGUCUUUGUGUUAAUUGCACUAACAGAAAUCUAAGUCAAACGGGAGCCUUACUCUAAGGAGUACAUGAUUUCCGCCUCCACGGAUGAAGACACAGAAGGGCAAGCAGAAUCUAUGUGGCACAGAGAGAAGGUGAGCGGUUAUCCGAGGAUGAGAUAUCUCCAGGUCUUGGUGUAAAUGAGGACUCUUCCCAUGGCCUGAGCGUCUUUCUUCCAUCCUUCAAAGCCAUGGCUACAGGGCAGCUCCCAGAUGAACUUGUUCCUCAUGGGAGAGAACAAACAGCUGUAAGUCAGGAGGAGUGGAAAAAAUUCGCCCAAGUCUUACCCACAAAUUGGCUCUGCGGAAGCACCCCAGAGCACUCCCAAAGCAUUUGUGCCAGGUUCCCUGGGCUGCUGGGUUUACUUGAGAAAUUUUAAAAUGCCUUUUGUGUGUUUAUUCUUUGACAAUUUUAUACACAAAUGCAAUGCACCCUGG
rnacentral:lncRNA from 1 species